GGGCCCGUGGUCUAGUGGUAUGACGCCACCUUCACAAGGUGGAGGUCCUGGGUUCGAACCCCAGCGGGCCCACCA
rnacentral:tRNA from 1 species